UUUUAACUUACAUAACCAACGCCCGGGUACUACGAGCCUCAGCUUAAAACCACGGUGUCCUAUCCAACUAGAGGAGCCUGUUCUAUAAUCGACAACCCCCGAUAUACCCAACCCCCUUGCCAAUCAGCCUGUAUACCUCCGUCGCAAACUUACCAUAUGAGUGUUUAUAGUGAGUCGGAGUAUCUAACACCAACACGUCAGGUCAAGGUGCAGCUCAUGGGGUGGAAAGCAAUGGGCUACAAUUUCUAACAUAGAAGAUACGAAAUGCUACAUGAAACACAGCCACGAAGGCGGAUUUAGUAGUAAAAAGA
rnacentral:rRNA from 1 species